rnacentral:rRNA from 1 species
AUACGUAGGUGACAAGCGUUAUCCGGAUUUACUGGGCGUAAAGGGCGUGUAGGCGGUCUUGCAAGUCAGAAGUGAAAUUCCUGAGCUCAACUCGGGCACUGCUUCUGAAACUGCAGGACUUGAGUGCUGGAGGGGAUAGCGGAAUUCCUAGUGGAGCGGUAAAAUGCGCAGAUAUUAGGAAGAACACCGGUGGCGAAGGCGGCUAUCGGGACAGUAACUGACGCUGAGGCGCGAAAGCGUGGGGAGCAAACAGGAUUAGAUCCCCUGGUAGUCCACGCCGUAAACGAUGAAUACUAGGUGUAGGGGGUAUCGACUCCCUCUGUGCCGCAGUUAACACAAUAAGUAUUCCGCCUGGGGAGUACGGCCGCAAGGUUGAAACUCAAAUGAAUUGACGGGG